GGACGAUUAGCUCAGUUGGUUAGAGCGUCUCGUUGACGUCGAGAAGGUCAGUGGUUCAAAUCCACUAUCGUCCACCC
rnacentral:tRNA from 3 species